AGCACUGUAUGGUAUCUGCAUCCAGCUGUUCCCCUGAGCUGGACUGUUCAUUACGCAGUGCAAGAGCAACUCAGCAUCUGGCAUCGUUGGUCUCCGUGCUUCAUUGUGCCCGGGGUCCUGGUAUUUGUGCUGAGACAAGC